rnacentral:lncRNA from 1 species
GCUCCCUCUCUCUCUCGGUCUUCUACGGCGCAGAAAAGGAGGCAGCAUUUCGGCGGCGUCUUCUGCGCUUUGUCGGCGGCGGCGGCGAGGGGGCCCAAGCGGCGCGGCCCUCUGUCCAACUCCAAGGUGCCCCCGCCCCCCAAGCGAUGUAGCGAGCCGGAGCUUCAAGCGGCGUGUCUAGGCGGAGAUCCAAGCGACGGCGACGAGGGGCCCCAAGCGGCGUGGCCCUCUGUCCAACUCCAAGGGGGGCCCCCCCCCCCCCAGGGGGGGGGGGGGCGGGGUCUCAGGGGGGGGGUUGGGGGGGAAUUCAAAGGGGGGGGGGGGGGGGGCCCCAAGGGGGGGGGCCUUUUUUUAAAAUCCAGGGUGCCCCCCCCCCCCCCCCCCCCCCCCCCCCGCCAAGCGGCGCAGCGAGCCGGAGCUUCAAGCGGCACGGCCAGGUGGAGAUCCAAGUGGCGGCGGUGAUGGCGAGGGGGCCCAAGCGGCACGGCCAGCUGGAGAUCCUCUUCCCCAACCCUAAGCAGCUUCCUCUUCGGUUCAUCUUAGUUCUUCGGUUCAUCUUCAGUGGCAGCAGCUUCACCUUCAGUUCUUUUUUUCUAUUUUUUUUGCAAAAACAGCUAAAUGGUAUAUAUAGCUGCAGCUAUCUCCCGCUAUAGCUCCGCUUAGCUGUUCAGAGGGUCAGCAGCUAAGGCAUAGCCGACGAUUUAAAACAUUGGUACGCAGGCAGUAGCUUCUUUACAUCCCUCAGGUACCUGAUGAAAACAAAAAUUAUUGCAGAUACGAUAUGUCAGUGCUUCUCAACCCCUAAACGUUGACGAAGUUUUUUACGCUUGCGUGUACAAGAUUCACAUACUUUUAACUUGCCGGGGUGUACUUUUAACUUGCCGGGGUGUUUUGCCCACCAGGCUGGCUGCUCGACUGCGGCUUAUUUCCAUUGUUAGUGGUCCGUGAAACAGUAGUCUACAUUCCCUUCACUACAAGAAAAAUCAUUAGUACCGGUCCGUAACCCCCCUCUAGUACCGGUUGUGCAACCGGUACUAGCGAUUUAGUACUAGAGAGGAGUCCUUUAGUACCGGUUGAGAUAACCGAUACUAAAGGGUAUUAAAAAAUUAAAAAAAGUUUUCCUGCCGGCCCCGCCUCCCGUUGCUGGCUCCCUCCGCUGGCCCUGACCCUGACGCCCCGCUGGUGGCCGCCUCCGCUAGCCCGCCUGCUCG